AAAAGACUAAAUAACGUAAAGCGUAAAAGUGAUGUUCUAACAGUUAAAGGUACCUAAUAGCUAUGGAAUAUUAAAGUAAAGGUCCUUAUGUGUUAAUUAGGUCAUUUUUAUUGUUAGUGGACAUUUAUGGACAUAUAGUAAGUAAUUUUAAUGUUUUAUAACAAAAGGAUAAUAAGGUAAUUUGGUAAAUUAAAUAAUUAAAAUAAAGAAAACAACUUUUUCAUCUUCGAAUUUA
rnacentral:lncRNA from 1 species